rnacentral:lncRNA from 1 species
CACCCUUCACUUAUCUACCUGGGUUCCCUUUCCUUACAAAAGAGUCUCUAAAAAUAGUGCUUUCCAUCAUAGGACUGUCACAAGGCUAAGUGAAGUGACACAAGGAAAGGCCCUCAGACAAACACUGCCAAGUGGAAAUACAAUGAAGCCACAUGUGAUUUUCAAUUCCCUAGUCCUCACGUCAAAAAAAAAAAAAAGGGAAAAGCAGCAGGUAACUUUAGACAGCACAGAGGCACACGCCUGUAAUCCCAACAAUUCAGGAGGCUGAAGGAGGAUUGAACAUUGGAGACCAACCUCAACCAAUUAGCAAGACCCUGUCUCAAAAAUAAAAUAAAAGGGGCUGGGGUUGUGGCUCAGUGAUACAGCACUUGCCUAGCAUGUGUGAGGCACUGGGUUUGAUCAUCAGCACUGCAUAAAAAAAUAAAUAAAAUAAAGGUAUUAUGUCCA